CAUCUUGCCAGGGUGUUGGGGUGUCGUGCCGGGGUGUCAGGGCGUUUUGCCGGGGUGUCGGGGUGAGGUGUCGGGAUGUCACCUUCUUGUUCUUCUUCUUCUUCCUUAUUUUCCUGUUUCCUGUUCUUAUUCUUCUUCUUCUUCUUCCUUCUUUUCCUUUUUCAUCUUCUUUCUUCUUCUCUUCUCUCUUCUUCUUCUUCUUNNNNNNNUUCUUCUUCUUCUUCUCCUUCUUGUUCUUCUUCUUGUUCUUGUUCUUGUUCUUGUUCUUGUUCUUCUUCUUAUUUUUUCUCCUCCUCCUCCUCCUCCUCUUCUUCUCCUUC
rnacentral:lncRNA from 1 species